UGGGGAAUCGUCUAGUGGUAGGACAGCAGACUCUGACUCUGUAUGCCGAGGUUCGAAUCCUCGUUCCCCAGCCA
rnacentral:tRNA from 1 species